rnacentral:lncRNA from 1 species
UUAAACUCACUCGUGCAGUUUUCCACGUUUUACAACUCAACCACUUUUACUCAAUUUUGAGACUUAAAUGAUAUUUUAAAUAAUAUUUUCGGUUGAGAACUACUGUUUUACUAAUGCCCGAGGGACUCAUAUGAUUUUGUAUUUAGUAUGGCCAAGGGCCAGAUGUGAGGAUACUUGAUACUGUUAUGAGGUCGAGGGCCUAGAUUUGAUGCCACGGGAUGGCUUGAUAUUGCGCUUGGACUGUAAGGGGCCCUUCCGGAGUCUACACACCCCUAGUGAGCACGGGUACCCAUUGAGAUCAGAGAGUGAGCCUGAGGAGCUGAUGUUUUCUAAGAGUGAGCCCGAAGGGCUGGUACUGUUCAAUGUGUUUACUUAUUUUAACUAUCUGUCACUUAUCUGCUU